rnacentral:rRNA from 1 species
CACGGAAUUAGCCGGUGCUUCUUCUGAGGGUAGCGUCAAGUGCACGGAGUAUUAGCCCGUACCAUUUCCUCCCCUCUGAAAGUGCUUUACAACCCGAAGGCCUUCUUCACACACGCGGCAUGGCUGCGUCAGGGUUGCCCCCAUUGCGCAAUAUUCCCCA